CCUACGGGAGGCAGCAGUGGGGAAUAUUGGACAAUGGGGGCAACCCUGAUCCAGCCAUGCCGCGUGUGUGAAGAAGGCCCUCGGGUUGUAAAGCACUUUCAGUGAGGAAGAACGCCUGGUGGUUAAUACCCAUCAGGAAAGACAUCACUCACAGAAGAAGCACCGGCUAACUCCGUGCCAGCAGCCGCGGUAAUACGGAGGGUGCGAGCGUUAAUCGGAAUUACUGGGCGUAAAGCGCGCGUAGGUGGCUUGAUAAGCCGGUUGUGAAAGCCCCGGGCUCAACCUGGGAACGGCAUCCGGAACUGUCCAGCUAGAGUGCAGGAGAGGAAGGUAGAAUUCCCGGUGUAGCGGUGAAAUGCGUAGAGAUCGGGAGGAAUACCAGUGGCGAAGGCGGCCUUCUGGACUGACACUGACACUGAGGUGCGAAAGCGUGGGUAGCAAACAGGAUUAGAUACCCUAGUAGUC
rnacentral:rRNA from 1 species